rnacentral:rRNA from 1 species
UACGUAGGGGGGCAAGCGUUGUCCGGAUUUAUUGGGCGUAAAGGGUCUGUAGGUGGCCAACUAAGUCAGACGUGAAAUCCCCUCAGCUUAACUGGGGAACUGCGUCUGAUACUGGAUGGCUUGAGUGUGGGAGAGGAAUGCGGAAUUCCAGGUGUAGCGGUGAAAUGCGUAGAUAUCUGGAGGAACACCGGUGGCGAAGGCGGCCCCCCUGGGCCGUACCUGACGCUGAGGCGCGAAGGCUAGGGGAGCGAACGGG